AAUAAUAAUAAUAGUAAUAUUCUGAAAAUUAGAAAUCAUACCAAUUGUAUAAAUAUCCAAUAUACUCAAGUUUACUUUCUGUAAUCACAAAAUAACUCACUGUUUACAAAGAUAAACUUAUCGCUGCACGGCGCAUGCGCUUUGUUUUGUUUUGCAACCACUAUGAUACACAACACUCCCUUCUUGCACUUCUGCACUCGUGACGACUGACUACAAUUUGUCGUAUCAUUUUCAUGAAUUUAUAUAAAGGAUAUUGUUUCAUAUAUUUUACGAUUUAGUUGUGAAAUAUAUCAAACACUUGUUUCUCUACUUUUAUAGUUGAGUUCAAUAUUUAGUGUUGUAAACUUGCAAAGAUUACUGUAUAUUUAUAGACAGUGAGUUAUUUUGUGAAGACAGAAAGUAAAGUUGUGUGUGUGGGUGUAUUGGAUAUUUAUACAAUUGUAAAACAUAUACUGAAAAAUGAGCAAUUCAGAAUCGGAAUAUGAAUACGCAAAUUUGUCGGAAAGCGGCUCAGAAGAAAGUGACAAUUGUCAUCAAAAUCCAAAAUUGCAAUAAAAAUUUUGAUUAUUUUUGUA